rnacentral:piRNA from 1 species
UUAUGGGUCAUAUGGGCAUGAAG